GAUGAACGCUGGCGGCGUGCCUAAUACAUGCAAGUCGAGCGAACGGACGAGAAGCUUGCUUCUCUGAUGUUAGCGGCGGACGGGUGAGUAACACGUGGAUAACCUACCUAUAAGACUGGGAUAACUUCGGGAAACCGGAGCUAAUACCGGAUAAUAUUUUGAACCGCAUGGUUCAAAAGUGAAAGACGGUCUUGCUGUCACUUAUAGAUGGAUCCGCGCUGCAUUAGCCAGUUGGUAAGGUAACGGCUUACCAAGGCAACGAUGCAUAGCCGACCUGAGAGGGUGAUCGGCCACACUGGAACUGAGACACGGUCCAGACUCCUACGGGAGGCAGCAGUAGGGAAUCUUCCGCAAUGGGCGAAAGCCUGACGGAGCAACGCCGCGUGAGUGAUGUAGGUCUUCGGAUCGUAAAACUCUGUUAUUAGGGAAGAACAUAUGUGUAAGUAACUGUGCACAUCUUGACGGUACCUAAUCAGAAAGCCACGGCUAACUACGUG
rnacentral:rRNA from 1 species